CGCACAGGUAAUGGGGAAAAAAUAAGAACCAAGAUACAUCAUGUACAGGUACAAGCACCCAAUGAUAAAUGUAAACGAAUUGUAUACCUAAAAUGUACCAAUAAAAGAACUUAGAAAAAAAAUACUCAUGAAUCACAGGUCUGCAUGUGGGAUCUUAUUUUUUUUUCUCAUUUGCCUUUCUAUCUUUCUUUCUUCUCUGCAAUACUGGGAAGCAAACAGGGUCUCCCACAUGCCAGACAAGUGCUCUACCACCUUAUCCCUUUUUCCCUUUAUUUAUUUUAUUUUGAAACAGGGUCUCACCAAGUUGCCCAGACUGGUCUCCAACUUGUGAUCUUCUGCCUCAAACUCCCAAGUAUACCUGGAUUGCAUUUAGGAAUUUUUUUUUAAAUUGUCACUGUAUACCUCACAACAAAUAUCCUCAGGUUAUAAAAAAAGACUGCUUUCCUGACAGCCCCUAUACAAAUGCACACUGAACAAAUAGAGUACAUCACUUGAAUGGCCACUUUAAAGCUAACCUGUUAUUCUCAUUUAAUGUUACACUCAGUGGAAUACUAAGGGAAAUAUUUUUCAGUGUUUUAAAGUUAUUCCAAUUUGAUGUGCAAAUUAUUCUAAUUUGUGUGGUAGAUGACAGCAUUUACAGUGGUAGUUGGUUAUUCUUAGCUAUUGGAUAUGAGAUUGCUACUUAGGUAAGUAGGAAAAAUUAUUCACAGUUGACAACUAGUAGCUCAAGGAAUUGGGGACAAAUGAGUGGGUUCCUGUUCCCUUUCUUGCAGUUUCUAAGAGGCAUACUCCGCAAGGACAGAUUCUUGCCUUGAGAGGCUACAGAUCAGGGCUGGCCUGCUACUCCCUGGAGUUUCACAGAGCCCCUUUCCUACCCUGAAGUCUUUCUCUUCUACUUCUUAAUAUGGCUCAUUUUUUUCCCCAGAGAAAAUGAAGGGCAGGAGGGAAAAGUCAGAGAAAGGUGGAGUGCAGAAGAGAGGUAGAAAGAGAACCAUAGGAGGAAGGAGAAAGGAGCCUGGAUAGAUAAGAGUGGAGUGACCAGGGGCCUAUAGGAAUGAGGAAGGAAAAAAACAGAAGACCAUGGAGUUUUGCUGUUUUACAGGGAGGAUCUAAUCCAGUGAUGGUAAACCUUUCAGAGCUUUCCGUGAUACAAACAUCCUGCUGCAGCAUGUGUGCCACAGGUUUGCCACAACUGAUCUGAACUCUAACUUGGUGACAGAGGGAAACUGAAAAUAAAUUCCUUUGUGCUUUCAACCCAACAAACUUAACGAAGAUAAAAUGACCUGCUUAUCACUGAGAGAAAGCUUCCUUCUGUUACACCAUGACAAAUGUACUUCCAGAGUUGGAAAACUGGUACCAACAUCCUCCUGGACUGUCCACUCGGGUCAAGAGAUUUCAGAGUGAGCACUACAUCACUAAGAGUCAUGAAGAUCCAGAAUCCAGAUGAUACCAGUCCCAACUGGCAUCACCUCUGGUGAAUACACCAGAUGCCUGCAGCCCCACUAGGAAGGAAGUCUAAAAAGAGGACGAGACAACAUCUUUUUUUGCAAUUUAUCCCCUUGACUCUGAU